rnacentral:misc_RNA from 1 species
AAGUCGUAACAAGGUCUCCGUAGGUGAACCUGCGGAGGGAUCAUUACCGAGCGAGGGCCUCCGGGCUCGACCUCCAACCCUUUGUCGUUACAAUCUCUGUUGCCUUGGGGGCGACCCGGCCUCCGUGUCGGGGCCUCCAGUGGACUACCAAACUCAGCGUCUUUGCGUCGGAGUAUAAGUAAAUCAAUUAAAA